CAAUAGCGUAUAUUAAAGUUGUUGCAGUUAAAAAGCUCGUAGUUGGAUUUGUGGUUCGUCCCGCCGGCUGGGUCAUUGACCUUUGCUGUGCUGGUCGUCCAUCCUUGGGUGGAAUCUGUGUGGCAUUAGGUUGUCGCGCAGGGGAUGCCCAUCGUUUACUGUGAAAAAAUUAGAGUGUUCAAAGCAGGCUUAUGCCGUUGAAUAUAUUAGCAUGGAAUAAUGAUAUAGGACCUUGGUACUAUUUUGUUGGUUUGCGCACUGAGGUAAUGAUUAAUAGGGACAGUUGGGGGUAUUCGUAUUCCAUUGUAAGAGGUGAAAUUCUUGGAUUUUUGGAAGACGAACUACUGCGAAAGCAUUUACCAAGGAUGUUUUCAUUAA
rnacentral:rRNA from 1 species